rnacentral:rRNA from 1 species
UACGUAGGGUGCGAGCGUUAUUCGGAAUUACUGGGCGUAAAGUGUGCGCAGGCGGCAGAGCAAGUCGAGUGUGAAAGCCCCGGGCUUAACUUGGGAAUUGCGCUCGAAACUACUUUGCUGGAGUGUGGCAGAGGAGGGUGGAAUUCCACGUGUAGCGGUGAAAUGCGUAGAGAUGUGGAGGAACACCAAUGGCGAAGGCAGCCUUCUGGGCCAACACUGACGCUCAUGCACGAAAGCGUGGGGAGCAAACAGG